rnacentral:rRNA from 1 species
NAGCGGAAUGGUUAACACAUNCAAGUCGAGCGGUAGGUGGUUUCGGCCAUUGAGAGCGGCGCACGGGUGAGUAACGCGUACAUGACCUGCCUGUCAGAAGGGGAUAGCCCUGGGAAACUGGGAUUAAUACCCUAUGGUAUUGAUGUUAUAGAUGAUAUCAAUUAAAGCUGAGGCGCUGACAGAUGGAUGUGCGUCUGAUUAGCUAGUUGGUAGGGUAACGGCCUACCAAGGCGACGAUCAGUAGGGGGCGUGAGAGCGUGGUCCCCCACACGGGUUCUGAGACACGGACCAGACACCUACGGGUGGCAGCAGUCGAGAAUCUUUCACAAUGGGGGAAACCCUGAUGGAGCGACGCCGCGUGGAGGAUNAAGGUCUUCGGAUUGUAAACUCC